AACGAACGCUGGCGGCGGGUCUUAGGCAUGCAAGUCGAACGGGUGUAGCAAUACAUCAGUGGCGCACGGGUGAGUAACGCGUGGGAAUCUGCCCAUCACUGGGGAGUAACGUUUGGAAACGAACGCUAAUACCGCAUACGCCCGAAAGGGGAAAGAUUUAUCGGUGAUGGAUGAGCCCGCGUUGGAUUAGCUUGUUGGUGGGGUAAAGGCCUACCAAGGCGAUGAUCCAUAGCCGGCCUGAGAGGGCGAUCGGCCACACUGGGACUGAGACACGGCCCAGACUCCUACGGGAGGCAGCAGCUAAGAAUAUUGGACAAUGGGG
rnacentral:rRNA from 1 species